rnacentral:rRNA from 1 species
GGACUACCGGGGUAUCUAAUCCUGUUUGCUCCCCACGCUUUCGCACCUCAGCGUCAGUAUCGGCCCAGGUCUCCGCCUUCGCCACUGGUGUUCCUCCCGAUAUCUACGAAUUUCACCUCUACACCGGGAAUUCCGAGACCCUCUUCCGUACUCAAGCCGGCCAGUUUCGGAUGCCCUUCUCGGGUUAAGCCCGAGGCUUUCACAUCCGACAUAGCCGACCGCCUACGUGCGCUUUACGCCCAAUGAUUCCGAGCAACGUUUGCACCCUCCGUAUUACCGCGGCUGCUGGCAC